rnacentral:rRNA from 1 species
AUGGAGCCGCCAGAGAUAACAACGUCGACUAGGAGGAAGCGUGGAGGUCAACUCCUUGUUGUUGAAGACUGCUGGGCAAUCAAAAAGUCAAGAAUCAAUGGCUGUAGAAAAAAGAGAAGUUAUGGUGAUGAACCAGAGUUGGAUGAUGCUGCGGUGCAAAAUGAGCAAGAGUUGGAUGAUGCUGCGGUGCAAAAUGAGCAAGAGUUGGAUGGUGUUGUGAUGCAAAAUGAGGCAGUAUUUGAUCUUGUGAUGCAUCAUGACCAACAUUUGGAUGAUGACGUGGUGCAGAAUGUGGUGCAAACUGAAGCUGUUGUGGCAGAUGUUCUGCAAACUGAAACUGAAACUGAAGAUGUUCUGCAAACUGAAGCUGUUGCGGCAGAUGUGAUGCAAACUGAGCCUAUAUUGCAAGUUGUAUUACCAAUUGAAGCUACUGGACUUGUUGUGCAAACUAAGCCUCAUGUAGAUGUUGUGGUGUCAACUCCAGCUGUCCUAGCAAGUCCAGUUAUGAAAAUCAAGCGUUUGAGUGAACUAGGUGUCAUACGAUCAAAAAGUGGUAAGAAGAAGAAAUCGAGUGCUAAGAAGAAGUGA